rnacentral:rRNA from 1 species
GGAAGGGGUGUAUUUAUUAGAUAAAAAACCAAUGCCCUUCGGGGCUCCUUGGUGAUUCAUAAUAACUUAACGAAUCGCAUGGCCUUGCGCCGGCGAUGGUUCAUUCAAAUUUCUGCCCUAUCAACUUUCGAUGGUAAGAUAGUGGCUUACCAUGGUCUCAACGGGUAACGGGGAAUUAGGGUUCUAUUCCGGAGAGGGAGCCUGAGAAACGGCUACCACAUCCAAGGAAGGCAGCAGGCGCGCAAAUUACCCAAUCCCAAUUCGGGGAGGUAGUGACAAUAAAUACUGAUACGGGGCUCUUUCGGGUCUCGUAAUUGGAAUGAGUACAAUCUAAAUCCCUUAACGAGGAACAAUUGGAGGGCAAGUCUGGUGCCAGCAGCCGUGGUAAUUCCAGCUCCAAUAGCGUAUAUUAAAGUUGUUGCCGUUAAAAAGCUCGUAGUUGAACCUUGGACCUGGCUGAUCUGUCCUCCUAAUCGAGCGCACGGAUUCGGUCGGGUCUUUCCUUCUGGGGAGCCCUAUGCCCUUCACUGGGUGUAGUGGGGAACCAGGACUUUUAC